GACGAACGCUGGCGGCGUGCUUAACACAUGCAAGUCGAACGGAAAGGCCCUGCUUUUGUGGGGUGCUCGAGGGGCGAACGGGUGAGUAACACGUGAGUAACCUGCCCUUGACUUUGGGAUAACUUAAGGAAACUGGGGCUAAUACCGGAUAGGAGCUCCUGCUGCAGGGUGGGGGUUGGAAAGUUUCGGCGGUUGGGGAUGGACUCGCGGCUUAUCAGCUUGUUGGUGGGGUAGUGGCUUACCAAGGCUUUGACGGGUAGCCGGCCUGAAAGGGUGACCGGCCACAUUGGGACUGAGAUACGGCCCAGACUCCUACGGGAGGCAGCAGUGGGGAAUAUUGCACAAUGGGCGGAAGCCUGAUGCAGCAACGCCGCGUGCGGGAUGACGGCCUUCGGGUUGUAAACCGCUUUCGCCUGUGACGAAGCGUGAGUGACGGUAAUGGGUAAAGAAGCACCGGCUAACUACGUG
rnacentral:rRNA from 1 species